rnacentral:misc_RNA from 1 species
GUGGGAGCAAAGCUUGCUCGCGACUGCGGCAAGUCAGCCAGCAACAAUAUUGACUGGUCUGCCGCUAUCGCGAGCAAGCUUUGCUCCCAC